rnacentral:rRNA from 1 species
CGGUCCUAAGGUAGCGAAAUUCCUUGUCGGGUAAGUUCCGACCUGCACGAAUGGCGUAAUGAUGGCCAGGCUGUCUCCACCCGAGACUCAGUGAAAUUGAACUCGCUGUGAAGAUGCAGUGUACCCGCGGCAAGACGGAAAGACCCCGUGAACCUUUACUAUAGCUUGACACUGAACAUUGAGCCUUGAUGUGUAGGAUAGGUGGGAGGCUUAGAAGUGUGGACGCCAGUCUGCAUGGAGCCGACCUUGAAAUACCACCCUUUAAUGUUUGAUGUUCUAACGUUGACCCGUAAUCCGGGUUGCGGACAGUGUCUGGUGGGUAGUUUGACUGGGGCGGUCUCCUCCUAAAGAGUAACGGAGGAGCACGAAGGUUGGCUAAUCCUGGUCGGACAUCAGGAGGUUAGUGCAAUGGCAUAAGCCAGCUUGACUGCGAGCGUGACGGCGCGAGCAGGUGCGAAAGCAGGUCAUAGUGAUCCGGUGGUUCUGAAUGGAAGGGCCAUCGCUCAACGGAUAAAAGGUACUCCGGGGAUAACAGGCUGAUACCGCCCAAGAGUUCAUAUCGACGGCGGUGUUUGGCACCUCGAUGUCGGCUCAUCACAUCCUGGGGCUGAAGUAGGUCCCAAGGGUAUGGCUGUUCGCCAUUUAAAGAGGUACGUGAGCUGGGUUUAAAACGUCGUGAGACAGUUUGGUCCCUAUCUGCCGUGGGCGCUGGAAGAUUGACGGGGGCUGCUCCUAGUACGAGAGGACCGGAGUGGACGCACCUCUGGUGUACCGGUUGUCACGCCAGUGGCAUCGCCGGGUAGCUAUGUGCGGAAGAGAUAACCGCUGAAAGCAUCUAAGCGGGAAACUUGCCUGAAGAUAAGUCUUCCCGGAGGCUGGACCUCCCUGAAGAGUCGUUCGAGACCAGGACGUUGAUAGGUCGGGUGUGUAAGCGUUGUGAGACGUUUAGCUAACCGAUACUAAUUGCUCGUGAGGCUUGAUCCU